CCGGAAGCAGAAUUUUCUACCAUAACAUACUCUUGUUCUACCAGACACGGUUGCAUCUUAGCUGGACGGGGCAGUUUCCUUUGCUGAAUCUACUCAAAUCAAGAAUUAUCCAGUCCAGGCCCAAAUCCCCUUGAAGAUUCUGGUGAAAUCAUAUAGUGCUAAAUAGAGAAAAUGAAACACAGGCAAGCAAGUUCCUUAACUAAGAGGGGAAAGAAGUAACAGCAAAAUCCAAGGCAAGUAUGAAUCACAUUCAAUCUAAUACUAUUUUUUUAAGAUUCAAGAAUCUAUAAAUAUCACUCUACA